rnacentral:sRNA from 1 species
GCGGGGCGCGCUGGCGCACACCUGUAAUCCCAACCACUCAGGAGGCUGAGGCAGGAGGAUCACGAGUUCAAGGCCAGUCUAAGCAAUUUGGAGAGGCCCUAAGCAAUUUAGCGAGAACUUGUCUCAA